rnacentral:tRNA from 1 species
AAACUUAUAGUCUAAAGGUAAGACAGAAACCUUCUAAGUUUUUAAUAUAGGUUCAAAUCCUAUUAAGUUUA